UGGGACCCACCAUGGAUUUAACAUCAACUACCACCAGAGCCGCAAUGUAGAGAACCAGCACCUGAGUCCAUGUGUGGGACCAUCUGACUAAAAAAAAAUCCCCAACUCCUUUUUCCCGUCGUUGCUUCCUGGGAAUUCUCGUCCAGUCCGUCCCUAUCCCGUACACCGUCUAUCCGCCUCCGUCCUCAUCCGCUCAAGUCCCGAUCCGCGCCGCUGGCCGCGGCCAUCCGAGCUGCCACCACCGGCACCAAGCAUCCGACUCCAGCUUGGCCACGGCAACCCCGGACGCGGCAGACGAAUCUUCCGGCUGGGCCUGGGAGGGCGACGGCGGCGCUCGAGAUCUAGCCCAGCGAGGGGCCGCGCCGCUCCCGUGCAGGUGCUUCGCCGCUCCCACGCAGGUGCUCCACCGCUUCGAGGUGAUUUGUUCUGUGCGAUAUAUACGCAGUACGCUGCCUGCUUGCUAGGAUGCGAUUUGUUCUGUGCGAUGUCUGUGCAAUGCAUAGAUGUGAUUUGUUCCUUUUGUUCUCGUAUGCGGCCAAAGCCAGUAGAUACAAAGAAUCUAUCACUCAGAAACAUGAUUAAGUUUUUUUGAUUGUUUGUUCAAGUAAAUAAAUUCCCAACUGACCAACUUCUCCUAAUUAAGUUCUGGAACACGUUUGUGGCAUAGAUACUUGUUGACGUCAGAUUUUGACACGUAUGGAAUCGGCGUCAAAAAAUAAAAGGAUUAGCCGAACACGUAUGGAAUCGGCGUCAAAAAAUAAAAGGAUUAGCCGAUGCGGCGAGUAAAAAGGGUGCGAUUGGGAAUCGGCCGGUUGGUGCUACAGUUGGAGAUCAGCCGAUUGGCGCUGCAGUGUUUUGGCGGACGGAGUUGGUAGAAAUCGGCCGAUUAAGAGGCUGGGGCAAUUGGGCCAAUACGGGCUUAAAGUGAAUUACAAAGAGAAGAUAAAGGAGGAUUGGCCCACAGGAGCACAACGACCAACUCCGAUGCGAGUUGUAAUUGUAAAUAUUUGUUUUCGUUUAAAAUUAGAGAUAGAAUCCUAGUCGGUUAAAAGAUUGGUUCUAACAGGCUAUAAAUAGCCAUCCUUAGAGAUCUGUAAAAACAACAUCAAAUCAAUACAACAAUCUACUAUUUCCUCGUACUUUACUUUCAAGUCGGCGACUUCGCCAAUACUUUUCUUCUUUCACGAGUUCGUACGGGUUGGCAGGACUGCAUCGACACGAUCUCCGGCUGAUUCUGUAAGUUCCGUUUAUCGAGUAAUAUCUAAGCUUUAACUUCGGGCGCAUCGCUGUCGUUUCGUUUAGAUUUAUUCACCAGUUAUCGAUAUUUACUAGAAUUCUAGGUUUUACCUAUUGUUCUAGUUUUAUCACCAGUUAUCCAGCUUGGAAUUAGAGCUUUCGGCUUAUUUACCUUUAUCGCUUAUCUAUCGCUUUCGCAUAGCCGAUUAGAUCUGUUUCAAGUGUUGUUUCUGUAGCGUUGUCUAGUUUUCUCUGGCAGUUUUCUUUACAAACGUUACCUAGUUGUCGGCUGUACCAUAGCCGAUUUCCUUGUUAUAGCAAAUCGGCCGAUUCGCUGAUAAGCUUCCUCGAGAUCGGAACCUUAGCCGAUCGCAGCCUCUGGGAUCUGACACGUUUCCUUCCUUGCCAAUCAAUAGGUCAGAUUGGCUGGCACGCCGCGCGAACCGCACCAGGACGAUUACCCGAAUAGGAGUUAAGCAGAUUCUCCCGGGUCGUGUGCCUGACGCUGAGAUUCAACCGGCUGAUUUUUAGCGCCAACACACUUUUGGCACGCCCAGUGGGACAAAUACGACCACUACGAUGUUGAAAACUGCCGAAAUCUCCGAAGACAACAUCAUCAAGGUGACGGAAGCAGACCUCAAGGACGACCAGAAGGAAGAGUUGGAGAGGCAGAUAGCACAGUACUGGAAGACAUGCCUACAAUCCUUCAGUCGUACCAGAAGCAGGGAAACUGUCAAGAAAGUUCCUUUUCCAACUCCCCGCCAGAUUACAAUCAUCGAAGACUCGGGCAAGAUGUCCGAGAUGGUUCAGCUGUCUGUCUAUCAAGCUUUCAUCGAUCAAUCUCUGGUGAUAACUAAUACGGUAUACAAUGCCGUCAUCAGCUCCCUGGCCAAUGGCGUG
rnacentral:lncRNA from 1 species